rnacentral:tRNA from 1 species
GUCCCUGCAGCGCAAUGGAUAGCGCGUUGGACUUCCAAUGCAAAGGUCAUGGACUCGAAUCCCGUCUGGGAUG